AUACGAAUCACCCAAGGUCCUUCUUAAAAUACAGAUUCUGAUUCAGUCGGUCUGAGGGUGCUGAGAUUCUGCAUUUGUAACAAGCUCCCAGGUGAUGCCGGU
rnacentral:pre_miRNA from 1 species